GACGUAGGGAGCGAGCGUUGUCCGGAUUCAUUGGGCGUAAAGCGCGCGUAGGCGGCCACGCAAGUCGGUUGUGAAAUCCCGGGGCUCAACCCCGGGACUGCGUCCGAUACUGCAUGGCUCGAGGCAGGUAGGGGAGAUCGGAAUUCCUGGUGUAGCGGUGAAAUGCGCAGAUAUCAGGAGGAACACCGGUGGCGAAGGCGGAUCUCUGGGCCUGUCCUGACGCUGAGGCGCGAAAGCUAGGGGAGCGAACAGGAUUAGAAACCCCCGUAGUCC
rnacentral:rRNA from 1 species